CCGCAAAAAGGGCAAACCAGUCGAAAGGCUGGGGCGCAAAGCUUCCGGCCUACCGCAUGUAACCCAUGCCACGGCAGCGGGGCCGCCGCA
rnacentral:ncRNA from 1 species